UUUAUUAUUAUUAUUAUUAUUUUAAAUGAAUAGACUGCAUCUUAUGCAAACCAGGUUUUAUUAGUUAUUAUUUAUUUUUAUUUUUUACAACCAUCAAUUGUUCUGCCUAUUUUGCAGGAGGAGACUUAAUGAAUAGACUGCAUCUCAUGCAAACCAGGUUUUAUUAGUUAUUUAUUUAUUUUUAUUUUUUACAACCAUCAAUUGUUCUGCCUAUUUUGCAGGAGGAGACUGUUUAAGAGGUACUGUUUGGUGUUCUUAAUGGCGGCCAAUAAUUUGAAUUCAUUUUGGACACUGAAACUGACUUGCAUUAUAGACUGAGGAAAGGAUAGAUGGGAUUUUGUGGGAGUAGAGAUUGGGCAUGAAGCAACCUGGAGUACUCACCAGAUGCAGACUUCUUCCCUUUUCCUUUCUGCUUUGCUAGCACGUGUUUAUAAGGCAUCUCAUCUACCUGCCACUGCUAUGGCACAUGAGGACGAGAACCUAGCCAUACAUCAGGCGGGUCAUGCUAUUUUGAUGCUUCGACACAAGAAUUCAGGUUGUUCAGAUCAGCAAAUGAGCUACGGUUUACACCAAAGUGGAAGGAUAUAAAUGGUGGGACCCAUGUGAUGGAUGGACAGCUUGGAUCUCCUUCCUCUCUGCAAUGAUAGCAGAUAUGGUGGUAUGUUCAUUAGGUACCUUUUAUAUGCAUGUGUGGGCUGAGCAAACCUCUUCUAAAUUUUUUUUCUCCUUUGUAAGUUUGACUGUGACUGUUCGAUUCCCAUCUUGGCAUCGGGUAGGACCCGACUGUAUGAGUAGUAGUGGAAGGUAUCUGCAAGAUUGACAACCAGAAGGGAGAUGGCUAGAUUACAUUCUACCAUAUUCAAGGUACCAAAGUUCGAUAGAUCAAAUUGCAAGCUAUGGAAAUUAAAGAUGAAGGUUGCGUUGGUGAGGAAAUCAUGUGAUUGUGAUUGAAGGAAAAGAAAAGAAGCCUGUAAAGCUAGAAGAGAAGAUAUUUGAAGGGGAGCUAUGGUGGAUUUUCUUCUUGUACUAGAUGAUUUGAUUUUACUCUAUGUGCCUAAUUAAACAAUUGCUAAAGGUUUGUGAGACAAAUUGUAAAAUAUGAAAGAAGGAAAAUCGAUGUCAAACAUGAUUUUUCUCUGUUGGUAGUCGUAUAAAUUGAAGAUGAAGGAUCCUCUUUGCAAAAACAUUUGAAUGAGUUUAAUAACCUGAUUGCAAGAUUGACGGCGAUUCAUGUGAAAAUUAAUAAUGAAGAAGAGGUUACACUUCUACUUUGUUUAAUGCCAGAUUUGUGCGAUGGUUUGAUUAUGAAUCAAAACAAUAGUUUAAAUCUCAAUAUGGAGUCAAUUAUGUCUACAUUGCUUAGUAAAGAAUCCUAUAGAAAAACACUUGACGGGUAUUUUGGUGAUGCUAUAAUAGUUAGAAAAAAAGAUCUACUAAGAAAAUAUUACUAAGAGUAAUAAGACGAGAUUCAAGUUAAAAUGACACAAAACAAGAAAGUGUUGAAAUUGUGGGAAAAAAAUGACAACUUGUAUAAAAAUUAUAAACUUAGAAAGGUAAAUCUAAAAACUUUUAAACAUGAUUCUCAUUAUUAACUAUAAGAUUCAAAGGGUUCUCUAGGAAACCUAAUUGAGAAAAGUGAUAUAUUCGAGAAUAAAGAAGUGUUGUCAUUUGUGAUUUUACAAGAGAAUAAGAACCAUCAAUAGAUUUUUUUAUUUUUUUAUAUUCAGGGAAUUCAUUUCAUAUGAUACUACAUAUGGAUUAUUUUUACACAUAUCCGUUGUGUGAUGAUGAUAUAAUUUAUAUGGGCAAUUGGAGAUGUCACAAUUACUAUGUUUGAUGAUAUCACACAUACAAUAUCGAGUUUGUGACGAGUAUAAGACCUAUGGAAGAAUCUUCUAUCAUUAGGAAAAUUUAAUGAAGAUGAUUAUAAAUUUGGUAGUGAAAAUGGUCGAUUAAAGAUUAUAAAAGGGGUGGAUUAUAUAAGUUGAUUAGAGAUACUAUGGUUGAUAAUGUUAUUGUUGUCAAUGUUGUGACAAACUCUGGUACAAUCCUGCAUUGACAGUUAGGCCGUUUAAGCAAGUAAAGACUACAAUUAUUUAUUCACCUAGUUUAAAAUUUAUCAAUUUAGAUUUUUAUAAGGAUCACAUGUCUAGCUAGCUCUAAUAGCUCAUUUUCCUCACCUGUUGCUAUAAGUAAGGAUGUUUUAUAUCUUAUUCAUUUUUACACUUAGGAGACUCUUGUUGAAUUCAUAGGAGGUUCAAAGUAUUUUUUUAAUGGUGAUUUCUUUAGGAAUGUACAAGUUUUCAUGCUAAAAAUAAGAGUAAUACCUUUAUUUAUGUCAUCAAAUUUAAAGCAUUAGUUGGAAUUCAUAAAAAGAAGAAGAUUAAGUAUUUAAAAAUUGAUA